rnacentral:lncRNA from 1 species
UGCAUUAAAAUGUGUAAAAGGUUUUCUAGUAACCAAAUGUUUUCUGCCCCAUUGCAAUAGGGAUCUACUGAGAAACAGAAGAGGAGUCUGACAGAUGGGGAGGAUCACAUGCCAAUGUCUGGGAAUGGUUUGGCCACCACAGUGGAAAAACUAUAAGCUCCUAAGCUGUUAAGGAACGCCUCAAAGAGCAAUGGAUAAGCCAGGUACCUUUGGUUCUUGACUCCACCCAAAUAAAAGGGCAUUAAUCAGCAGGUAAUUAAGCAC